GAUGAACGCUGGCGGCGUGCCUAAUACAUGCAAGUCGAGCGAACGGACGAGAAGCUUGCUUCUCUGAGGUUAGCGGCGGACGGGUGAGUAACACGUGGGUAACCUACCUAUAAGACUGGGAUAACUUCGGGAAACCGUAGCUAAUACCGGAUAAUAUUUUGAACCGCAUGGUUCAAAAGUGAAAGACGGUCUUGCUGUCACUUAUAGAUGGAUCCCCGUUGCAUUAGCUAGUGGGUAAGGGAACGGCUUACCAAGGCAACGCUGCAUAGCCGACCUGAGAGGGUGAUCGGCCACACUGGAACUGGGACACGCUCCAGACUCCUAGGGGAGGCACCAGUGGGGAACCUUCCGCAAUGGGCGAAAGCCUGCCGGAGCAACGCCGCGUGAGUAAUGAGGGUCUUGGGAUCGUAAACCUUGGUGUUUGGGGAAGAACAUAUGUGUAAGUAACUGUGCACAUCUUGACGGUACCUAAUCAGAAAGCCACGGCUAACUACGUG
rnacentral:rRNA from 1 species